CGAGUUCUUCUGUGGUCACAAUCAAUCUGCCUUUGCAAUAAUGAUGAAUACAACUGAAUCCGAGGAGACCUUUUGGGAGAAAUGGGUGAAGCCAUUGGAAGACAUAGAUGACCCUGCUAUGAUUCGGACUCGAUACUUCAUGAUCAUUUGGCUCUGCAUGGCUCUCCUUCUCGGAAUUCCUGGAAACCUGCUUGUGAUUGCAUCCGUGGCAGUUGUGAAGAAUCUU